rnacentral:rRNA from 1 species
AACGCGAAGAACCUUACCAAGGUUUGACAUGCAGGGAAAAGCCGUAGAGAUACGGUGUCCGUAAGGGUCCUGCACAGGUGGUGCAUGGUUGUCGUCAGCUCGUGUCGUGAGAUGUUGGGUUAAGUCCCGCAACGAGCGCAACCCUUGUCCUAUGUUGCCAGCACGCCUUUCGGGGUGGUGGGGACUCGUGGGAGACUGCCGGGGUCAACUCGGAGGAAGGUGGGGACGACGUCAAAUCAUCAUGCCCCUUAUGUCCUGGGCUGCACGCAUGCUACAAUGGCCGGUACAAAGGGCUGCGAUACCGUGAGGUGGAGCGAAUCCCAUAAAGCCGGUCUCAGUUCGGAUCGGGGUCUGCAACUCGACCCCGUGAAGUCGGAGUCGCUAGUAAUCGCAGAUCAGCAAUGCUGCGGUGAAUACGUUCCCGGGCCUUGUACACACCGCGCAUA